rnacentral:ncRNA from 1 species
GUGCAUGCCGUUCUUAGUUGGUGGAGCGAUUUGUCUGGUUAAUUCCGAUAACGAACGAGACUCUAGCCUAUUAAAUAGGUGCGUGGUUCUCUGCACCUUGCACCCUUCUUAGAGGGACAAGCGGCUCCUAGCCGCACGAAACAGAGCAAUAACAGGUCUGUGAUGCCCUUAGAUGUCCGGGGCCGCACGCGCGCUACACUGAAGGAAGCAGCGUGUUUUUAUCCCUGUCUGUAAAGACUGGGUAACCCGUGGAACCUCCUUCGUGAUUGGGAUAGGGGCUUGCAAUUGUUCCCCUUGAACGAGGAAUUCCCAGUAAGCGCGAGUCAUAAGCUCGCGUUGAUUACGUCCCUGCCCUUUGUACACACCGCCCGUCGCUACUACCGAUUGAAUGAUUUAGUGAGGUCUUCGGACCGAUACCCGGAGCGGCCUUUCGGUUGCGCCGGUGUGUUGGAAAGAUGACCAAACUUGAUCAUUUAGAGGAAGUAAAAGUCGUAACAAGGUUUCCGUAGGUGAACCUGCGGAAGGAUCAUUA